rnacentral:misc_RNA from 1 species
GAAAUGCGAUAAGUAAUGUGAAUUGCAGAAUUCAGUGAAUCAUCGAAUCUUUGAACGCACAUUGCGCCCGCCAGUAUUCUGGCGGGCAUGCCUGUCCGAGCGUCAUCUCAACCAUCAAGCCCCCGGGCUUGUGUUGGGGACCUGCGGCUGCCCGCAGGCCCUGAAAACCAGUGGCGGGCUCGCUGUCACACCGAGCGUAGUAGCAAUCACCUCGCUCAGGGCGUGCUGCGGGUUCCGGCCGUUAAACAGCCUUACAAAACCCAAGGUUGACCUCGGAUCAGGUAGGAAGACCCGCUGAACUUAAGC